rnacentral:rRNA from 1 species
CUACGGGGUGCACCAGUGGGGGAUAUUGCACAAUGGAGGAAACUCUGAUGCAGCAACGCCGCGUGAGGGAAGAAGGUUUUCGGAUUGUAAACCUCUGUUUUUGGUGAAGAAAGAAAUGACGGUAGCCGAAGAGGAAGCCACGGCUAACUACGUACCAGCAGCCGCGGUAAUACGUAGGUGGCAAGCGUUGUCCGGAAUUACUGGGUGUAAAGGGUGCGCAGGCGGGACUGCAAGUUGGAUGUGAAAUACCGGGGCUCAACCCCGGAGCUGCAUCCAAAACUGUGGUUCUUGAGUGAAGUAGAGGUAAGCGGAAUUCCGAGUGUAGCGGUGAAAUGCGUAGAUAUUCGGAGGAACACCAGUGGCGAAGGCGGCUUACUGGGCUUUAACUGACGCUGAGGCACGAAAGCAUGGGGAGCAAACAGGAUUAGAUACCCCAGUAGUC